AAGAAAGCCACAUUGGAUGUGAAGUUGGCUUGAAACUUACUUUAGGAGGUUCGAUUCCUUCCUUUCUUG
rnacentral:tRNA from 2 species